ACUUGCAUAAUAUAACAAUUAUAUUUGACUUCCAAUCAAAAAAUCUAGAAAUAGCGCAAGUA
rnacentral:tRNA from 1 species